UACGAAGGGGGCUAGCGUUGCUCGGAAUCACUGGGCUUAAAGGGCGCGUAGGCGGGCCCUCAAGUCCGGGGUGAAAGCCUCCCGCUUAACGGGAGAAGAGCCUCGGAGACUGAGGGCCUCGAGGGAGGUAGGGGCGUGCGGAACUAUGGGUGGAGCGGUGAAAUGCAUUGAUAUCCAUAGGAACUCCGGUGGCGAAGGCGGCACGCUGGACCUCUUCUGACGCUGAGGCGCGAAAGCCAGGGGAGCAAACGGG
rnacentral:rRNA from 1 species